ACGUAUCUUUUUUCCUAUCCUGCAAAUUAAUCUGAUUUGUCAGAACACCAUCACGUGAAUUAUUAUUCAUGUAGAUUCUUCAUGAUAGAAAUUCUUAAAUUCGAAUUGGAUUUAGGUAUCGGUCUAAUCGGAUUUAACCGUUCAUAAAUUGAGUAUGAUUUUUUUCCAGAAGGUUGUUUCGUUUACGUCAAUUUGUGUGAUCCUACUGUCAGUAUUACAGAUGAUACAGUGCAAUCCCAUUUACCCUGAUCAAGAUUGGUCUGAUGGAGCUGAUGGUAUGUCAGAUAAUAUGCUGAAUGCUAUGCCCAAGCGUUCUUUUUGUCCCAGAUCAUUCACCUGGAACCCUAGCCUCAGACGAUGCCUACCAUCAUUAGCCCAUUUAAGAGGUCGACCGGGCAGACGAAGCAGAUACUGAAGAUCUUAAUUCAUACACACUUACAAGCAGUUCAAUACUUAUGCCUUAAAAGACAAAGUUUUUGAAAAUAAAUAAAUCAUUGUUGUUUUCUGAAGUAACUUUCCAUGCAAUUGAUAUAUGAUAAAAAAAAAUACACUAUAAAUUAUAUAAAUCGAUUGGCAAAAUUUGAAAUAUUAGAAUUAAAGUAAUUUCAAAUAUA